UUGUACUUGGCCUUUACCGAUGCACUUUCUGAUUUCACAACAGCACUGAAGGGCUACAAUUAACGUGUCUGGGUGGAAGUUUCAUUAUGAAAAUGCGGGAAAUUCCCCACUAUACCAGGAAUAAAAGAGAGAGACAGAAAUUGCUUUCACUUUAGUCGGAGCAGCACAGGGAGACGGAUCUCUAACUGCUGGGGGAACGUGCAAGAGAAUUUGUGAAGAGAACCUAAAGUAGCGAAGGGGAGUUCGUGGAGAAACGUGUGCUGGUAAGGGCUAAGAACAACCAAGCUCGGCUGACCUGUGAUGAAGAUCGACAUCAGUAACAGACAUCAGUAGAAGACUUUGUGCUUGGUCGAAGCUAUGCUGCCAGCAGAACCUGUUUUACAGGAGACAGGUGCAGGAACUAACAGGACCUUAAAUGACUUUAUUAGAAAGCACCAUAAUGCUUUUAUCCUCUGUAUGCAGAAUUUUGAAAGAAUGAAAGCUUCUUCUGACAAAUUUUACCAAUAAAAAAAAAAAUAGAGCUAUUAAAACACA